CUCACCCGGCGGUCCGUCUGACUCAGCUUCCGGACGGGAUCAAUUUGGCGCCGUCUGUGGGAACAUAACAACCUGUUCUAGAACGUGAAGAUGGACGACGUCGGGAGGUUCUCUGCCAUUAUCACAAUCCCGGAGGAUCUUGACGCAUAUAUUAUAUUCUAUCCUCACUUCACCGGUAUUUGGGAGUCAAGGGAUCGAGUGGAGCUUCAGCUGGCUGAUAGGUUAGUUUUUCCAUUAUGUUUUUUCCCUGACUCCACGGGUAUUUGGGAGUUAAGGGACCAAGACAGACCUUAGUUGGUUGGCACGACUUCCCGAUCAGGUACGCUACGAGCUCUGCUCUCUUUUUACGAUUAUAGGAACUGUUAUAUUUUCCUGAUAAAAGAGUAAGAGCCUAGUUCCUUGAUUAAAGACUAGAGCCUUCAAUUUCUGAUCGGACACUAGGGGCCCAGCUCCCCGCUCAUACACUUGGGACACAGCUCCCCGCUCAUACUCUUGGGGCACAUCUCCCCACUCAUACACUUGGGACAUAGCUCCCCGAUCAUAGACUUGCAGUACCACUUCCCGAUCAGGAUCUAGGGGCCUCGUUCUUUGAUUACAGGCUAGGGACCUUACUCUCCGAUCAGGGACUAGGGGCCCAGUUCCUCCAUCAUGUGUGCAACAGGCUCUGCACCCUUCACCAUGAGGCUCUGCAUCCUCUUAUUACUACAAGCUCUGCAUCUUUCACCAUGGGCUCAGCAUUCUCUUAUUGCUAUAUGCACUUCACUCUACUAUUAUUAUAUGCUCUACAUCCUUCACUUGUUGUGCAGCCUCUUACAUCUAUAGGUGUUGUUCUCUUCACCUACGGUGCUCUGCUUCCUUCUACGGCUAUAGGCUUUGCUCUUUUAUAUCGGCUUCACACUCUUUAUCUUCUCCCCUCGCUCCACGGGUAUUUGGGAGUUGAGGGACCGAGACAGAUCCUCAGUCGGUUGAUACCACUUCGCGAUCAGGAAGGAUUCAACAUAACACAUCCUCCCCUCUUGGACGGCAACAACUUUGCCAAUUGGAAGAGAAAGAUGGAGUGCAUCCUUAUAAAUGAUUCUAAUUGCUGGAAAAUCAUUCAAGAUGGAGUUGACCUGCCAAAGACUCAAAAGGUGUGCUAUGCGGGUUUGAAUCAUGGACAAGCAGCCCAAUCAAAUGCAAAAAAACAACUAUAGUAAUUCUUUGUGGUCUGACUCAAGUUCAACUUGAGAAAGUUGGACCAUUUAAAGAUGUGAAGGAGCUUUGGGAGAAGCUUUGUGCCAAAAAUAAAGAAGUUGAAUCAAAAUAAGUCUGUUGAACCAUUCUUGUUGCUCAAUCAAAUUCCAAGGACUCAACCAAUGAAGCUCAACUUGAGUCAAAAUCUGAACUCGAAUCAAAAUUAGAACCCGAGUUAGAAUCAGAUCAAAGCAAGUUAAAGGUAAUUGAGUGAGGUAAUAUUUUUUUUAAUUCAAAGUUAUUUAUUAAGAAAACUUUUUAUGUUGAAAAUCCCUUGUCUAAUUUACUUAGCAUGAAUAAGUUGUGUGAUACUAGUUAUAAAGUAAAACGUCCUAUAACUAAGUAUAUUGAAGAACCAAACUUGACCUUAUUAGGAGUUAAGAAAAAUGACAUAUACACACUUAACCUAACUUAUUCCUCACACAAGCGUCCUACGACACAACAAGAGGAUAUUUUUUGGACAAACUAAGAGAUCAAGUCAUAACCAUUUAGGAUAUAAUCAGUAUUGGAUCCAUAAAUAUCAUGUUCAUUAUCUGGAUUCAACUCAUGUUAACUUUAGCUCAAACCUAGGAAAAGAUAGAAACUUUUGGAUGAAAAGAAAUAAAUCUUGAAUUUAGGGGCAGCUAACUCUUAGUUCUACAUAGACUAGGAUUGAGGUCUUAUUAGGUUUAGCUAGUUUAACUUAUUUUGAUUAUGUAGUAAAUUCUCUAAAGUUCAGCUUAACUUCAGAUGUUGAUACUUAGUUUAUUUGCCCAUAUUCAUGAUUACAUAUUAUAUUACUCAUUUUGAUAGGGUUAUAAAUGAAUCGAACGUUCAUAAAUAAGCUUGGUAUUCAACUUAGGAAGAGCUUGUUUACGUUCGUUCAAUGCACACAAAUCAAUUAAAUGAACAAGCUCAAACAACUCAUCAAACUAAACAAAUAAGUUUGAACACACGUGUUUAACUCAUUAAUGUUCGUGAACAACAUUCGUGAAAAUAUUCGUGAACAACGUUCAUGAACAACAUUCGUGAAAAAUAUUUGUGAAUCAUGUUCAUCAAUAAAACUAUUAUCAACAUGCUAAAUAAACAAAUAAAGUUUCAAAAUGAACAAACAAAUCUGUAUCAUCAAGCUCAAUAACCAACUAAAUAAGUUUGAAAUGUAAAAGUUUCAAACAAUUAAAUAAGCUUGAAUUGAGAACUUGAUAAUAUCUAAAUGAACAAAGUUUAAGCCAAGUUCGAACUAAGUUCAAGUUCAUACAAAAUAAAUCAAGCCAAACUUGAACAAUUAUUUCUAAAGCUUAGUUCAUUUUAGGCUCGUUUUUGGCUUAGUUACCUUAUCAAAUAAGCUUACAAAAUUGACUCGGCUUGUCUUGUUUGCAAUCCUACAUUUUGACUUGACUUCAAAACUACUUACCUACUUGAUUUUACUUAAUCUCAUUGCUUACAUAUAUAAGAAUUUAUUUAAAAGAUUUAAAUUACUCACUUAAAAAUUUACUUAAUUAUUCACUUAUUCAAAGUCAUUUUAUUUAACACUCACAUGUCAACACUUAUACUAAUGUCCACUUGCUUUAUUCAAAUACUUAUUCAUUUAAGUAGAUUCACGUACUCAUUCCAGUUAAUGCUUACUUGUUCUAUUAAGUGCUUAUGUUGAUUUAUGUUGACCAUGUAGUAAAUCUUUUGAUCUUAAAUUUACUUGUUUAGUUUCUUACAUGUCUAAUGCAUCAUGCUUACUAUUUUUGACUUAAGCUUAUUCUAUUUCAAGCUUACUACAAGCUUAGCUUACUACAAACUUAGGUCAUAUCUUACUUGAAUUAAAAUUCUUGAAGCACCUCUUUAAGCUUACUUUGUAAACGUUAGAGUUAACUUUAACCUGUUGACUUAGUUUGACUUGGCUUGUUCUGUGUUUGACUUGUUUAACUUUUAUGUUGACUACUCUAUUUGCAAAUCUACUUGCAUACUUAAUGCCUAUUUGGAUUAUGCAAUGAAUAACCAACUAGAGUUUCAUGUCCAGUUUGACUUUGUUCUAGUUUUGUUUGAUUUGUAAUGACUUAUGUUAACUUGGAGUAGGCUCAAGCAUAUCUUACAUCAUCUUUUUUGAACUUACUCGGAGUUAAUGUGCUUACUUGAAGAAUUGCUUAGUCAUUUUAAAGUCUUUAAACUUGCUUUACUUGAUUUACUUUACACCUCUAUGUUCAAUCACAUGUAUAAUUGCUCAUUUUAUAAAGAUUUACCUUCAUGCUUACAUUACAUGCUGAACUUGUUUAAAUUAACAAAUUUGAGUUUUAAUGCUAUGCUUCUUUUUAAACUAUAUUUAAACUCAAACUUCUUUCUUAUUUUUGAUGUAGGUAAAAGGAGGAGAGAAAAAUUUAGUUUAAAGUUUAGUAUAAAUUUCCUCAAUAUUAAAGAGUUUAUAUGAAAGGGGAGUUUUAUAUUAAGGGGGAGAGUUUACAAUUUUCACUUAAGCACAUUAAUUUAGAAAAGUUUAAUUUGAAGUUUGUUUACUCUUAGUAUAAAUUUCCUCAAUAUUAAAGAGUUUACAUUAAGAGGGAGUUUUAUAUUAAGGGGGAGAGUUUUCCAUUUUCAUUUAAGAACAUUAAUGUAUAAUUGCAAAUAUAUUCUUCUUUAUCAUAUAUAAUGUAUAACCCUCAUUUUUAAUAUUGUUGAUUUAGCUAACUUUAAAUUAAGUUUUCAUACGAUAAAAAAAAAGAAAGAUUAUUGGUAUUUAGAGCAUAACAUUGAACCGAUGUUUUGAUGUAUGACUAAGUUUAAAGUUAAUAUAUUUGUGUACAGAUGGAUGUUGUCAAGUAUGCAAGUGCAGGAAAUUUGACAAGUGGAUAAGUCCUGGUUGGGAACCAGACAAAAAGCACUACUAGAAAACUAGGCUUUUGAGACAUAACAAAAUAUAUCUUAAAUUAUAAAUUUAGUGUCUCAAAAUAUUUUUGAGACGGUAAUGUAGUCGUCCCCAAUAUAAGCAUCUCAAAAAAAUAUUGAGACAAUUGUACCAUAUCAAAUGCUAUUUAAGACUGUGAUGAGACAGUUGUUCAAUUGUUUAAAAAGUAUUUAAGAUAGUUAUUUUUUUAUCUCAAAUAUUAUAUCUUAUCCUAUGAAAAAACUAGAACACUAAAUUAAGAUGGUAAUGUGGUGUCUCAAAUAAAAGUGAAGAUAGUAAACUACUGUUCCUAAUAUUUUAACUUGUUAGAUACAAUAUUUAUGACGAAAAUUAUUAAUCUUAAAAGAACAUUUACUAUACAAAUUAAUUUAGAUCAGAUUUAUUGAAUUACCAUUUCAAAACAAAAGGAAAACUUUAUUUAUAAAUUAAAAGUGAUAUACAUAAUAUAAAAUUCUACAAUCAUUAAUUGAAGUGCAUCCAACAUUCAUCCAAUAAUAGAAAUAACUACAUAUCAAUCAUUAAUUUGAUAAGAAAAAAACUACUAUUCCCAUGAAAGCUACACAAGAAAGCCUAAAAACAACUCCAUGAUCUGGAGAUAACUUUUAUAAUUUCUCUUCAUCAGAAUCCUCAACAUUAAAAAAAAAAAACUCUAAUUAGAGGUAAAGAUGAUUUAUAAUAUAUACUAUUCAGAAAAAUCAAUAAAUAGAACUUUCUAAUAAGAAAUUUCAUCAUCCAACACAUAAUCCUCUUUCUUGCAAUUAUAUAUAUAUACAACACAAAUAACCCCAAGUUAAACAAACCUCUUCAUCUCGUAAUAAGAAAUGGUGGUUUAUGUGUUUGUCAAUAUCUUUAUUUCUUUCAAGUUAUUACACCUGUAAAAUAGAUUUAUCUACAACUUAAAAAAUAUGUACACUACUACAUCACCAAAAAUUGUUAAUAAAACUAAAAAAAAUCUUGUGAAAAUAACUACCAAUGUACCUGUUGGCAUGGUUACCCAAUCCUUGUACAGGUGAAAUAAUAUUAUCUGUAACCUAAAUAAAAAUAGUGUACGUAUCAAUAGGGAUUCAUGAUUCUCUAACUUUGAUUGAAGGUUAAGAAAAAUCACCGAUGUAAUAAAAAAAUAUGUCUUCAUGUUGAUAAAUAAACACUCUCUUCAACAUUUCAAAAACAAUACGGAGGUGAUGAAAGUUGGAUGUCCAUGUCAAAUUGUAGAUGAGAAUGUCAUUAAAGUAGACCACCACAAACUUUCUCAUGAAAGGUCACAAAAUCUGAUGCAUAAACCAUAAAAAGGUGUUGAACGCAUUAGACAACCCAAAAGGCAUGACCAUCCAUUCAUAUAUUGCAUCUUGAAUGUAGUUUUCCAUUUAUCUCCGGGUCUUAUUAUGAUAUGGUAAUAUCCGUUUUUAAGGUCAAUUUUUUAGAAGACCUUAGAACUGGAUAGUUGAUCCAACAUGUCAUCCAAGCAAGGAAUUGGGAAUCUAUACUUCACAGUGAUCUUGUUGAUGACUUGGUUGUCAACGCACAUACUCCACGAACUAUCUUUCUUUAGCAUAAGUAGAGCUAGAACUGCACAUGAGCUCAUGCUCUCACGUAUAUAGCCCUUCUCUGGUAAUUCCAAGACCUAUCACUACAAUUCUUCAUCCUCUUUGGGACUGAAGCAAUAUGUUGGUCAGUUAGGUAGACUCGACCCUGAAAUAAGGUUAAUUUGAUGCUGAAUAUCUAGUAUGGGUGGUAUAGCCCAGAAGGAAGAUCCUCUCAUCUCAUCAUAAUAUACUAGCAAUUAUUGUACUUCAACUGGUAACUCAACGUCCAUGGAUACGACUUUGUUCUGGCAUGGUAGCAAAUCAUAGACAACACCUCCAUGCUCUAUCUCAUCUAAAAACCUAUAGAAAGUAGAUUAGUAAGAAUGGGAGUGGUUUCUUCUCACCGUGUCACCAACACAAUUUUUUUUCCUUUGACUUGAAGGAUAUAUGUAUUCUUCCGCCCAUCAUGGACAGCGCGCGAACAUACUGCCAAGGCCGCCCAAAUAACACAUGGCAUGUGUCCAUAGCCUCCACAUCAUACUAAGCACUAUCAAAAUAUUUACCAAUUGAAAAAGAUACGAGAUAUUGUCGGUCUACUAUUAUCUUACUAUCUUUAUUCAGCUAGGAUAACUUGUAUGCAUCCUAUGGGCUAAUGAGAGGGGAGAAUAGAGGAGAACUCAAGAAGAGAGAACGCCAAAAAAUAAGGGAAACUCGUCAGAUUUACUAGAAAAGGAAACUUUGUUAAUAAAAGAGGGAUGAAUUUUCAUAUAACUAUACAUGUGUUAUAUAGUUUCUAAACUCUAAGACAAAGAAAUGAAAGAAAUCCUAAUUCAUGGACCUCAAUUCUAAUCUUGUAGAGAAAGAAAAGAGAUCUUUCUAGGAAAAGAAAUCUUUUGACAGAAAUUAAAAUUAAUAAAAUAGGACACGGUCAUAGACUAAUUGUGGCACAUAAUUACCAAGAAUAUCAAAAAUAUCCUAAAUAUUAUAAAAUAAUAAUAAAAUCUUCGGAGACUCAGAUGAAAACAAAAAUGGUGGAAUUUGGGUCAAAAAAUUGACGGUUACGGGUACCCAUAACAAAUGUAUAUUUUUAAAUUAUGCAUGCGUGGCCAUCGACAGAGUUUGAUUUCGAGUUCCGAUUCAAAAGUUAUGACCGGCCGUUUGAAGUUUAAAGAGUUAUGUUGGAUUGAUCUUACAUCAUGGAGUUGGGAUGUUCCAUGCAAUUAGAGGCAAGUCGGGGUAACCGGAGGUGCUCCCAGGCAACUGGUAGAAGACGAGAUACAAUGAUCGAGGCGAGACAAUCAUGAUAAGAUUUGACUAUGCUCCAAACUACUGAAGGACUUCUAGUCGACUGGAGACCAUGGACGACAUUAUCUAUUGAAUACUAGUGGCAGCCAUGUUAAUGACUUCUAAGUGACCGAGGAGGUUCUAGUCGACCAGAUUUUACCAUGUUAGCAUCCAAAGGAGUGUUAUAAAAGGAGUCUCGAAGCAAAACUUUAAAAUUAACAUUUUCAUCUUGGUGCUAGUACUGUGCUCUCAUGCUUUAUGCUUUCUGUGCUGCAAUGACAACAUGCUACAACAACUACAAUAGGCAACUCUAAAGCAUAUUUCUUAUUAUUUCUGUUGUUGUAUAGUUUUUUUUACUUAUUUUUAUAUUUUUUUUCUGUAAGAUUUCUCCAUCUUAGAAGUUUUCUAAAAAAGGAGAAAUUAGAAAUAAGUUUUUUUUAAAAUUAUUUCUGCUCUGUUUGGAUUGCUAACUAAGUCUUGCAAGCUCUAUUUGAUUCAAUUUCUGACUA